rnacentral:misc_RNA from 1 species
UCACAAUGUAAGUCAUUCUAUCAUUUCUCACAUUCAUAUUGAUGUUAAUAAAUCUAGACAUAUAUAUAUGCGGGAAUGUCUAGAUUCAUUAACAUAAAUAUGAAUGUGGAAAAUGCUAGAAUGACUUACAUUGUAUGUCUAGAUUUAUUAACAUCAAUAUGAAUGUGGGAAAUACUAAAAUGACUUACAUUGUGAAACGG